rnacentral:rRNA from 1 species
CCUACGGGCGGCAGCAGUGAGGAAUAUUGGUCAAUGGACGAGAGUCUGAACCAGCCAAGUAGCGUGAAGGAUGACUGCCCUAUGGGUUGUAAACUUCUUUUAUAUGGGAAUAAAAUGUUCCACGUGUGGGAUUUUGUAUGUACCAUAUGAAUACGGAUCGGCUAACUCCGUGCCAGCAGCCGCGGUAAUACGGAGGAUCCGAGCGUUAUCCGGAUUUAUUGGGUUUAAAGGGAGCGUAGGUGGAUUGUUAAGUCAGUUGUGAAAGUUUGCGGCUCAACCGUAAAAUUGCAGUUGAAACUGGCAGUCUUGAGUACAGUAGAGGUAGGCGGAAUUCGUGGUGUAGCGGUGAAAUGCUUAGAUAUCACGAAGAACUCCGAUUGCGAAGGCAGUUCACUGGACUGCAACUGACACUGAGGCUCGAAAGUGUGGGUAUCAAACAGGAUUAGAUACCCGAGUAGUC